rnacentral:rRNA from 1 species
UACGAAGGGUGCAAGCGUUACUCGGAAUUACUGGGCGUAAAGCGUGCGUAGGUGGUUCGUUAAGUCUGAUGUGAAAGCCCUGGGCUCAACCUGGGAAUUGCAUUGGAUACUGGCGAGCUAGAGUGCGGUAGAGGGUAGUGGAAUUCCUGGUGUAGCAGUGAAAUGCGUAGAGAUCAGGAGGAACAUCCGUGGCGAAGGCGACUACCUGGACCAGCACUGACACUGAGGCACGAAAGCGUGGGGAGCAAACAGG